AAGGGGUUGUCUUGAUCCGAAAAUACUUGUCAUCAAGAUGGAUAAAAAGAGAUAUAUUUAGAACUAAAAUACAUCUAGAUAUAUCCUCUUUUAUUUAUUUUCAUGAUAAAUAUUUCCGGACAAAGGAAGUAGUAC
rfam:Triticum urartu cultivar G1812 contig1110609, whole genome shotgun sequence.